GAUGAACGCUAGCGGCAGGCCUAAUACAUGCAAGCCGAACGGCAAGAUUGAUAGCAAUAUUGAUCCUAGAGUGGCGUAAGGGUGCGUAACACGUAUGCAAUCUACCCUCAACAGGAGGAUAGCUCCCCGAAAGGGGAAUUAAGACUCCAUAAGAUCAUUUGGUGGCAUCAUUGAAUGAUUAAACUUCCAGGGGUUGAGGAUGAGCAUGCGCCUGAUUAGUUAGUUGGCGGGGUAAGGGCCCACCAAGACGAUGAUCAGUAGGGGAACUGAGAGGUUGA
rnacentral:rRNA from 1 species